rnacentral:rRNA from 1 species
UGGGGAAUAUUGCACAAUGGGCGAAAGCCUGAUGCAGCGACGCCGCGUGAGGGAUGACGGCCUUCGGGUUGUAAACCUCUUUCAGCAGGGAAGAAGCGAAAGUGACGGUACCUGCAGAAGAAGCGCCGGCUAACUACGUGCCAGCAGCCGCGGUAAUACGUAGGGCGCAAGCGUUGUCCGGAAUUAUUGGGCGUAAAGAGCUCGUAGGCGGUUAGUCGCGUCUGCUGUGAAAACUCGAGGCUCAACCUCGGGCUUGCAGUGGGUACGGGCUGACUAGAGUGCGGUAGGGGUGACUGGAAUUCCUGGUGUAGCGGUGGAAUGCGCAGAUAUCAGGAGGAACACCGAUGGCGAAGGCAGGUCACUGGGCCGCAACUGACGCUGAGGAGCGAAAGCAUGGGGAGCGAACAGGAUUAG